rnacentral:rRNA from 1 species
UGGGGAAUAUUGCACAAUGGGGGAAACCCUGAUGCAGCGACCCCGCGUGGAGGAAGAAGGUCUUCGGAUUGUAAACUCCUGUUGUUGAGGAAGAUAAUGACGGUACUCAACAAGGAAGUGACGGCUAACUACGUGCCAGCAGCCGCGGUAAAACGUAGGUCACAAGCGUUGUCCGGAAUUACUGGGUGUAAAGGGAGCGCAGGCGGGAAGACAAGUUGGAAGUGAAAUCCAUGGGCUCAACCCAUGAACUGCUUUCAAAACUGUUUUUCUUGAGUAGUGCAGAGGUAGGCGGAAUUCCCGGUGUAGCGGUGGAAUGCGUAGAUAUCGGGAGGAACACCAGUGGCGAAGGCGGCCUACUGGGCACCAACUGACGCUGAGGCUCGAAAGUGUGGGUAGCAAACAGGAUUAGAUACCCUGGUAGUCCACACUGUAAACGAUGAUUACUAGGUGUUGGAGGAUUGACCCCUUCAGUGCCGCAGUUAACACAAUAAGUAAUCCACCUGGGGAGUACGACCGCAAGGUUGAAACUCAAAGGAAUUGACGGGGGCCCGCACAAGCAGUGGAGUAUGUGGUUUAAUUCGACGCAACGCGAAGAACCUUACCAAGUCUUGACAUCCAUCGACGACUAUAGAAAUAUAGUUUUCCUUCGGGACGGUGAGACAGGUGGUGCAUGGUUGUCGUCAGCUCGUGUCGUGAGAUGUUGGGUUAAGUCCCGCAACGAGCGCAACCCUUAUGGUCAGUUACUACGCAAGAGGACUCUGGCCAGACUGCCGUUGACAAAACGGAGGAAGGUGGGGAUGACGUCAAAUCAUCAUGCCCUUUAUGACUUGGGCUACACACGUACUACAAUGGCGUUAAACAAAGAGAAGCAAGACCGCGAGGUGGAGCAAAACUCAGAAACAACGUCCCAGUUCGGACUGCAGGCUGCAACUCGCCUGCACGAAGUCGGAAUUGCUAGUAAUCGCAGAUCAGCAUGCUGCGGUGAAUACGUUCCC